CCUCAUGAAAGGAUGGAAGGUGCUAGAAGAUUCCAGAUCUGAUUUCCACUGGAAUAGACGGUAAACGAUAAAGGACUUGAUCAUUGGAACCCAGCGUGCUCAAUGGUACACUUCAUCGAAAGGCUGUAUGCUUCAGAUGGCGCACGGGGUCGUGCGAGAGCUUACGAAACCAAACUCUUAUGACGAGAUGAAGGCGAGCCUCAUGGUGGAAGGUGCUACAAGAUUCCAGAUCA